rnacentral:rRNA from 1 species
CGGGACGGGUGAGUAACGCGUGGAUAACCUGCCCCAUACCGGGGGAUAACAGCCGGAAACGGCUGCUAAUACCGCAUAAGCGCACGGGACUGCAUGGCCCUGUGUGAAAAACUCCGGUGGUAUGGGAUGGAUCCGCGUCUGAUUAGCUAGUUGGUGAGAUAAAAGCCCACCAAGGCGACGAUCAGUAGCCGACCUGAGAGGGUGGCCGGCCACAUUGGGACUGAGACACGGCCCAGACUCCUACGGAAGGCAGCAG